GACAGGUAUGCUACAGGACAUGUGGCUGAUGCCCUAGCCCAGAGUAACACUGUAUACUGUAGUAUGAACAGGUAUGCUACAGGACAUGUGGCUGAUGCCCUAGCCCAGAGUAACACUGUAUACUGUAGUAUGAACAGGUAUGCUACAGGACAUGUGGCUGAUGCCCUAGCCAAGAGUAACACUGUAUACUGUAGUAUGAACAGGUAUGCUACAGGACAUGUGGCUGAUGCCCUAGCCCAGAGUAACACUGUAUACUGUAGUAUGAACAGGUAUGCUACAGGACAUGUGGCUGAUGCCCUAGCCCAGAGUAACACUGUAUACUGUAGUAUGAACAGGUAUGCUACAGAACAUGUGGCUGAUGCCCUAGCCCAGAGUAACACUGUAU
rnacentral:lncRNA from 1 species